rnacentral:rRNA from 1 species
GUGAGGAAUAUUGCGCAAUGGAGGCAACUCUGACGCAGCCAUGCCGCGUGCAGGAAGAAUGCGCUACGCGUUGUAAACUGCUUUUAACCGGGAAGAAACCCCAGGACGUGUCCUGGGUUGACGGUACCGGAGGAAUAAGCACCGGCUAACUUCGUGCCAGCAGCCGCGGUAAUACGAAGGGUGCAAGCGUUAUCCGGAUUCAUUGGGUUUAAAGGGUGCGUAGGCGGAGCGUUAAGUCAGUGGUGAAAUCCUGCAGCUUAACUGUAGACUUGCCAUUGAUACUGGCGCUCUUGAGUGCGCUUGAAGUGGGCGGAAUGUGCCGUGUAGCGGUGAAAUGCUUAGAUAUGGCACAGAACACCAAUUGCGAAGGCAGCUCACUAAGGCGAUACUGACGCUGAGGCACGAAAGCGUGGGGAUCGAACAGGAUUAGAUACCCGGGUAGUCC